UACGAAGGGGGCUAGCGUUGCUCGGAAUUACUGGGCGUAAAGGGCGCGUAGGCGGCCAGGUUAGUCAGAGGUGAAAGCCCAGGGCUCAACCUUGGAAUUGCCUUUGAUACUGGCUGUCUUGAGUUCGGGAGAGGUGAGUGGAAUGCCGAGUGUAGAGGUGAAAUUCGUAGAUAUUAGGCGGAACACCAGUGGCGAAGGCGACUCACUGGCCCGAUACUGACGCUGAGGCGCGAAAGCGUGGGGAGCAAAAAGG
rnacentral:rRNA from 1 species